CGUCUGUUUUACAAGUUCUUUAUAUACUUACGCUUAAGAACUAAGCUUGUCCCUUCGGGGACAUCCGAUAAAAUUGGAACGAUACAGAGAAGAUUAGCAUGGCCCCUGCGCAAGGAUGACACGCAUAAAUCGAGAAAUGGUCCAAAUUUUUUUGCUCUUUUUUCUGCCAAAUUUUUUUUGCCCUUUGAAGUCUUCGAUGGUUCGGUGGCUUCGUCUUUGAUCUUCCAGGUGGAGGGUUUCAGUAAACUCAAAAAUUGGUUGGUGCUGUGCCAUUGUCAAGAACCCGAACAUGUGGAGCUGGGUUUGGGACUUUUGGUGUCUGAACUGAGUGAAGAGCCAAGGAAAGGAAGGCUCAUUGGUGGAGAAGAAGAUGAGCCAGACAGGAUACAAGGCGAUCAUGAUCUUAAGUCCAAGUGCGAGUUGAUCAUGAUCUUAAGUCCAAGUGUGAGUUGAUCAUGUGGAAGUGUAGUGUUUUGGGGGCUUUUGAUUUAAUUUUGGAGGUGGUUGUGAAUGCGAAUUUGAAGGCAGAGCAGAUGAUCAAGAAGGUGAUUGUGUUCACCGAACUACAUCCACUUGAUAGCCGCACCUGAUAUCUUGUUCAGCACGAGUUACUAGAAGAUAUAGAAGGAAAUAUACAAAGAUAUCAUUCGGAAGCAAAGAUAUAUCUUGUAUAUAUCUUGUAUCUAUCUCCUACAUCCACCUGCUUUUGCUGCUGCUUUAGGUACAAGUCCUCCACCAUUGCCUUCCACUGAAAGCCACUUCCCCGACAUCCUCAUCUUGUACAUAUUUUAUGAUCUCAUUCGGAAGCAAAGCAUCCAGCUUUAUUAUGCUAAUGUCACCUCCUCCUACUGCUGCUGCUUUCACCUUCUUCAAAUACUUCUUAACCACACAGGGCUCUCGGCCUUGACGAUUGUAGUAAUUGGUCAAGGGCCCCAAAAACUCAUUAUGUAGCCAUUUCAACUCCCACUCUUGUGAUUGAUCUGAUUCGGGCAGGGCAAGCCUUCUGGCGAUGCUUUCAAGCAGAAAAAUGGUGCCGGUCCAGUGCUUGUGCCCGACUCGUGUGGAAGUGCAACACUCUGCAGCCCUGGAUACCAAAAGAUGCGAAUUCAUUUUGUCUAUAUCAGACUUCAAAUGCUCCACGAAAAUAUCAAUAACUCGAUCAUGUAACAAUCUAUAUAAUCCAGGUCACGGUGGUACCUCUCAGGAUGAAGACGCAGAUGCGCAGCAGCGUCGUGAUCUUGGUCGCUGUCUCAUUUCGGAACUAGAACCUUGUAGAGAAUUUGGACAAGGUUGUACCACCAACCCCCAUGGUGGAGAUAGCGGACAAGAGGCAAGUUGGCAAUAAAGUGGAGGUGCGUAACAGAGUCUUGGGGUGGUUGUGGUGGAGCCAAAGCACGGCCGUGUUGAACUUUGUGUCAGAAAAAUCGAUUGAAUCGAAGGUGAAGAUGAGCUUGAGGGUGGUGAGGGGACUGUGGGACCAGGCCAAGGGGAGCAGUUGCUCCAGAUAUGUAAGGCAGGGGUUAGCAUCUCUCCAUUCCGGUCUGAGGGCGUUGAAGAAGAGAUCAAGGCAGGGGUGACCGUAGGAGGAGGAGGGAAUACAAGGCCAGAGGCUGUUGUUGUUUGCAAUGUCAGCGUUGGCGUUAGAAAGUAGCCAUUAAUCUCCUUCUUUCUAUUGGUGUGGUUGGAGCUACUACUAGUUGUGAGGGUGAAGAAAUGAAAAUAUUGCCGCCUAAUCUGCGUUUGCCAACGACAUUGACAAGGUUUCGGUUUCGGAGGCAUCCUCCUGCUGAUCCCCCUGCUGCUGCUGCUUUGUACCGAUUCACACUCGUCAAACACACUUGCCCCGGCUCCACUGCUUUAUUCAUCUGAAUCAUCAUCUCUCAGUGGUUGGUUGUUU